GGUUGCUAUAGUAAAUUCUGUAUUGCCCUUAAAAAUAGAACUGAUAAAAAUGGAGUCAGUGGAGUUGAACGGGGAAGAAGCAUCCUAAGAUGAAAUGUGGGAUUUCUCUGUGUAGCUCUGGAUGUCUUGGAACUUGCUCUGAAUACCAGGUUGACCUCCAACUCAGAGAUCAGCCUACCUCUGACCCUCAAGUGCUGGGAUAAAAGCCUGCCCACCCCCACCAGUUUGUUUAUAUGGUGGAUUACACUGAUGGAUUUCCAUAUAUUGAACCACACUGCAUACCUGGGAUGAAGCCUACUUGCUGCUAAUAAAUGCAACUUUUUGAACAUUAAAACAUAGACUGAAGAUCAGCAGCUAUCCAGGCUCUUGAACUGAAGAACUAUCAGAAGUGCUACGCUCCCUCAAAUAACAUUGCCACAUAUUCAUCAGCCAGCCUCAGACAGGAGAUAAAGAAGAGUUGGAAACAUCCCUGGAGAUAUGGAGAUUGACUCUGGUUUUUGAUGGUAUAUUAUUCUGAGGAUUCACACAUUUAAUGACAUCCAAGAAAAAGAGGUCAGCAGGAUAAUCCACUGUGUAUUGGUUUGGCUCAACUUGGAAAUUUUUCACGUGUUGCUUAUAUUUAUGUAAAUAAAGGACUAGUCUUUCAUCUUCCAAUUUCAACAUGUUGCUGAAUUAAUGUGAUUAAAGAUGGAGUUGUACUAUUGUUAACUGUAUCUUUGUUUCUAUGUUAAAGUGCAAAGGAAAAAUUAUAUAAAAUUAAUGUACUCCUAAGAAUUUGAAUAUGUCUUUCAGCAUCAGUUAUUGUAAACCCAAGGCAAUUUCACACAAAACAGUAUGAUAUAUUUUCUUUUCAGUCUUAGCUUCCAUGCCAUUCCUAUUUCUUUUUUAUGACCAGGUUUAUAAAUAGAAUCUUUGAAUUGAACAAGUUUGGUAGGAUUCAACAACGAAGAGUUUCAAAUAUUCAUAUGUGUUAAAAUAUUUUCAGAUAUUUUUCUUAAACAGCAUCAGUGGACUGGGUGAGGACCAAGGGAGAAGAGGAAGGGAGGGUGAGAUUGGGAAGGGAAGAGGGAGGUGCUACAGCUGGGAUACAAAAUGAAUAAAUUGUAAUAAAUAAAUUAAUAAGUAAAGUAUAUAAAAUAGUAAUUAUAGUCAUGCAUUUAACAACUUAAUUCCUUUUUCCUAGGUCAUUGUUUUGCUGUCUAAGCUUGAAAUCACUUUUUGGAAUCAAAUCAUAGUAGACACACAGCUAUGACCCCAAAGAUAAAUAUUCUUUUAUCUUCCUUGGUGGAGAAGGAAAUUAAGCUUGUGAAUGCAUAGGAUUACCUAGUGUUUGUGAAAAGUUAUAAAACAGAAUAACUCUGGCCACUGAAGUGUAAGAAAACAUAUGUGUGAUGUUGAUAAUUGUUUGAUAGUUUGGCUUUUAAUAUUGCUGCGUACAAAAAUCCUUUUUCUACUAAGCAUUGCUAUAACAAAGAUCCUCUGGUAUCUGUUUUUGCCUCAUGUCUGAUUCAUUCAGUAUAAAAAAUAAAUUGAGCACUACAUUCUGUCAGGAUUUUGUGGAAAAUACAGUGUGGUUGAUAUUGUGCUCUAUUUUCUUAAACCUGUCAAGCUACACCACCACAAGGAGAUAUUUACUGUGGAAACAAGAGAUUCAUUUGUAAGUACUCCCUUUGGCUGCCAGGAAAGGGAUAUCCAGGACCUGAAAGGUGAAUAAUGUUUAAGGGCAUCAGUCUAGGACAAAAAAUGAAUAUAGAAGAGGUGAAAUCAUUGUGUAUUGAGCAGUGGGGAAGGAAAUGAUUUGUGCUGCCUGCUGAUAUAUGAAGUUAUAUUAUGUACAAUAAAAAUAGUUUAGUUUU